rnacentral:siRNA from 1 species
UUGCUACAUACGAUUGGCGGC